rnacentral:lncRNA from 1 species
GGUUGAAAACACAACUACACUUGCAUCUGAGCAGAGAAUACGUGCGCUGAGCUUAAGCCUAUUAUGAAUUUAAAUGGCUAGGUUUGUAAGAGCAUUUAAAACUACACUCAAUUAUUAAAAGAAAACCACCUACACUAAAAUCUGUUUCACAAUACCACGACACACUACAAUAUGAUUUAGUCUAUUUCAAGAAUGCUAGUCAGACUAAAACUUUUCCCCAGCGUAUUCCUAGUUCUAGAUAUAAAGAUGAGUCUUUUUUUCUGUGGAAGUUGAUAGAAAAUUCUACCAAAACCCCCUUUGACUGUUUUAGUCAUAAGUUUUGUUGUUGAUACUACUGUUUUCUGGGGAAGGUGAUAAGUACUUAAAAAAAAAAAAAAGUGUUUUAAGGUAUAUGACAAGAUAUUUUGCUAUUUGAAUAGAUUUUAACAGCAAUGUAAUGCUUCAAUCAAACUAAUUUUUUUUUCCAUUUUAAAAAACUCACAAGUGAUCGGUGCUUGCUUUGGUGUUCUGAGUACUCUAAGUCUAUUUAAUCUUUAAAGUUCAAAUUCCAGGAGUCCAUAGUUCAGAGAAACACAGGCUUUACAAAACCUGGGAAACGGUUGCUUAAUACAGAGAGGAAUACAAAGCAC